rnacentral:sRNA from 1 species
AGCCCAAACUCUUCCCUCUGCUGACAGCAAAUUUUAGGCAAAGUCUUGAGAAAGAAGAAAUUGGGGCCAGAAAGGGAAGUGAGGAGAAUCAGAUCCCAGACCUUUGGGGAGAAGGAGCAACCGCCUCUGGCACAGCCCAUCAGGGAGAAAGAGCAGGUACCUUCCUCUGGAAACUGGGGGUGAGGUCAUUUCCCCACCAUGACUGUGCCCUUCACCUGGACAGUGCCACGUCAGCAGUGUGCCCGUCUUCAACAGCAUGCAGCAGCCUGAAGUGAAGACCUGGGGUGGAGUGGUGACAGCUGCCAUGGUCAUAGCCCUCGCUGUCUACAUGGGGACAGGCAUCUGUGGCUUCCUGACCUUUGGAGCUGCUGUGGAUCCUGAUGUGCUCCUGUCCUAUCCCUCGGAGGACAUGGCUGUGGCCGUUGCCCGAGCCUUCAUCAUCCUGAGCGUGCUCACCUCCUACCCUAUCCUGCACUUCUGUGGGCGGGCUGUGCCUCAUUCAAGCCAAACUCUCUGAGAUGGAAGAGGUCAAACCAGCCAGCUGGUGGGUGCUGGUCAGCUACGGAGUCCUCUUGGUCACCCUGGGAGCCUUCAUCUUUGGCCAGACCACAGCCAACGCCAUCUUUGUGGAUCUCUUGGCAUAACC